rnacentral:rRNA from 1 species
UACAGAGGUGGCAAGCGUUGUUCGGAAUUACUGGGCGUAAAGGGCGCGUAGGCGGCCUCGCAAGUCCCGUGUGAAAUCCCUCGGCUCAACUGAGGAAUGGCACGGGAAACUGCGGGGCUUGAGUUCGGGAGAGGGAAGCGGAAUUCCGGGUGUAGCGGUGAAAUGCGCAGAUAUCAGGAGGAACACCAAUUGCGAAGGCAGCUCGCUGGGACGUAACUGACGCUGAGACGCGAAAGUGUGGGGAGCAAACAGG